AUAAUCUCGUUUGAAGUGGAGCUUCAACCAUAAUCCCAUAUUGUCCUUUGUAUGUUUCAGUGAUUUUGCCAGUCUUCAUCGCCACCAUUGUCGUCUUCCUGGUGCUAGUAUGUGCUCUACUCUUUGUUAUCAGGGCUCAGAGGACUCAACACAACCUGGUUAAGAGUCAGGGGUCAGGUAAUGCCAGCACAGUUGCCAUGAGCCAACAUCUACCAAGUGGAGAAGGAAACGAGGAACCCAACAAAACAGAUGAGGACAUUUAUGUCAACACCU